rnacentral:rRNA from 1 species
AGGGAUGACGGCCUUCGGGUUGUAAACCUCUUUCAGCAGGGACGAAGCCCUUGUGACGGGACCGGCGGAAGAAGCGGCGGCUAACUACGUGCCAGCAGCCGCGGUAAGACGUAGGGCGCGAGCGUUGUCCGGAUUUAUUGGGCGUAAAGAGCUCGUAGGCGGUUUGUCACGUCUGUCGUGAAAGAUCCAGGCUUAACCUGGGUUCUGCGGUGGAUACGGGCAGACUUGAGGCA